AUUGAACGCUGGCGGCGUGCUUUACACAUGCAAGUCGAACGGCAUCAAGUUUACUUUCGGGUAGAUGUUGGCGAGUGGCGGACGGGUGAGUAAUGCAUCGGGACAUGUCUAUUUGAGGGGGAUAACUCAUCGAAAGAUGAGCUAAUACCGCAUAAUGUCUGAGGUCGAAAGCUGGGGACCAGAAAUGGCCUGGCGCAAAUAGGUUGCCCGAUGUUCGAUUAGCUAGUUGGUGAAGUAAAGGUUUACCAAGGCGAUGAUCGAUAGCUGUUCUGAGAAGAAGAUCAGCCACACUGGGACUGAGACACGGCCCAGACUCCUACGGGAGGCAGCAGUGGGGAAUAUUGGACAAUGGGGGCAACCCUGAUCCAGCAACGCCGCGUGAAUGAAGAAGGCCUUAGGGUUGUAAAGUUCUUUUGUCUGGGAGCAAAAGAUGUUCGUUAAUAGCGGAUAUAUCUGAGAGUACCAGAAGAAUAAGCACCGGCUAACUACGUGCCAGCCGCCGCAGUAACAC
rnacentral:rRNA from 1 species